AACGAACGCUGGCGGCAUGCCUAACACAUGCAAGUCGAACGAGACCUUCGGGUCUAGUGGCGCACGGGUUUGUAACGCGUGGGAACCUUCACUUAGGUUCGGAAUAACUACCCGAAAGGGGUGCUAAUACCGGAUAAGGUCUUCGGACGAAAGAUUUAUCGACUUUGGAUGGGCCCGAGUUGGAUUAGCUAGUUGGUAGGGUAAAAGCCUACCAAGGCGACGAUCCAUAGCUGGUCUGAGAGGAUGAUCAGCCACACUGAGACUGAGACACGGCCCAGACUCCUACGGGAGGCAGCAGUGGGGAAUAUUGGACAAUGGGCGAAAGCCUGAUCCUGCAAUGCCGCGUGAGUGAUGAAGUCCUUAAGGUUGUAAAGCUCUUUUACCCGGGAUGAUAAUGACAGUACCGGGAGAAUAAGCUCCGGCUAACUCCGUG
rnacentral:rRNA from 1 species